GAAAGAUCCCAGGAAAGCUGGGACCUUCUAGCUGCGAGGUGAAAGUGCUCACUGCCGAGCCACUGCGCAGCCCCAGGAACAAGUCAAAUGGGUUGAAACAGAAUUACAAUGUUCACAGAGUGCUCCAGGAAGUAGAUUACCUGAGGCCAGGUGGACAGCAUUGCCUGCAAUUAGACUCACAAGCAGCAGCAGAGCAGAGAGCUCUUGCAUGGCUCAAGUAAAUACAAAUAACUUAUUUUAAGGUGUGUUAUUGACAGCUAGGUAGAAGCUAUCAAUCAUGCUAGGCAGUUUUGCUCUCUACAUAAGACUCUUUGUCUUUGUGCUGAUGUGUGCAGCUGUCAUGUUGUUUAUCAUGUGUUUGGAUGCUGCAAGAGCCAGUCCCAUAGUAACUAAAGAACACAAUGGAGUGAAGCACAAUGUCCCGAGACGACUGUAUGCCACACGCAAACAACAUCAGCCCCCUUCCUUUGGUCUGCUGUCAACAGAAACUGGGAUGAACAGAGAAACUGGGACAAGCGAGAAUGAUAGAGAAGCCCUGUCAAUUAUUGACCAUCAAUCAAACUCUUUGCGGUUUACACAAGGUAGCUUUGAUUACCAUCAAAACAACCCAGAUAACAGCCAGUCUGGAGCAAGAAUAACCAAAGUGCAGAGAGGUCACAGGACAGGUGGAGUGAUGCCAGCCAGCAGCAUUUUCACUCGUCACGUUCGCCACGGAGGCUUUGACACACGGCAUUCCACAGAGGAUGACUACACGUUCUCUCAGAGAGUAGCUAAAGAUUGGUGGAUACAGGAGUGCUCUACCACCAAGAGUGCAUUACAGUGGCUAUAAAAAGACAAAUGGGCUUCUUGCAGUCGGGCCACAGAGCACAUCAAGUGGGAUUCAAUCAAGCAAAUUUCUCAGCUUCGCAAGUCGCACAGCCCCGCAUGAAACAUCAAUCAUCAGAAGCUCGGACGCCUCUGUUAUUAAAAGAAACCCAAGCCUGGGAAAAAUGACACCAUCCAUUGCAGAUUCCUCCCAGGGGCUGGAUUCGGUGAGCAGCAGUGAGACACUAAGACACAAACAGGUCCAGUCAUAUCUCCUCAAGGACUCCCAUAACUCAGGGACAGGAGAUGGACAAGAAGUUUCAAGUGGACUGAGCAACGCCACCACAAUGCCAUAUAGGCUAAGGCCUUCUGGGUCACACAUUUACAGCAGAUUUAGCUCAAAUUUUAAAGAGCCACACAGAAAAGACCGAACCAAGCAAGAUAAUGUCAAUCUAUUGUAUCCUAACAUCGAUGUGGCUCAGUAUGGCAGUCAGACACGAAGAUUUACCAAUUAUCAACCAGUCUCUAGCAUCUAUACCCCCAAACAUAUCAGAGCACAACCUCCCACUCAAGUCUUCACACAUCCUGCUUCUUUAAAGGGUCCGUUUAUGCAAAGCUUUGUCUCACCACUUAAUGCACAUUCCUGGGAUGCCACCAGCAGUAAGAAAUCUGCUCCAGGAGGAACGAAUGCAACUGCAAGAGAGUCUAUGUACAAACCAGGAUGGUCCACAAAAAGCAUUUAUGGCUUCAGGAGGUUUGAAAAUCCACUAAGCCAUUCUGUCAAAGGAAAAAUCGCCUCUCAACAAUACAAUUUUGAUAAAGGGCAGAGCUAUGGGUUUAAAAUUGCAAAUAAAUUCCCCUCUUUGUCAAGAAAGUACAGCUUUGGCCAGAGAGGAGCAACUACUACAACAUCAGUAAAACCUAAACAAAUACCCACAGAUUAUUCUUCACCUUCUCCUGGUAUCUUAGAUGGAGUUCAAAUGACAACAGUUCCUACAACCACGCCGUUCACAUCAGGCUUUCAGGACAUUAAGCAUCUUCUGCCUCAAAGUGAUGCCAGUGUGGACAGAAACCCCAACCACAGACAACUUACAAUCUACAAAAGAAAGUAUGGUCUGAAAGGAUUUGGCAGUCGACCACUGGAGGGAGCCAAAACUUUAGUUGGGGAAAUAGACGAGUCUGCCACUCUCCAUCAAGGUUUUGAAAGUUUUAAACUACGGAGAUCACAGACCUGGAAACCAAAAAUCAUCAGGGGGUACAAUCGAACAGGUAAACCAGAGACAGAUACAAAAAAUCCAUCCACAGUAAGGCAAAAUGAGCAAAGCAGUAAAGAUGUUAAAACCCUUCUAAAGACUGCAGGAAGCACUGAACCUGUCACCAGAUUUACACCUGACAGGAAAACUCACAUUUUUCUCGGACUCCAGUCUGUUAAAAGCAGAACUGAGCAGGCUCACAGCAAAACACACUGGAAAUACACGGAGCAAAAUCUUCCUUUUAUCUCUUCGGCUCAUCUCAGAUCUGUAGGAGGCCUCAAACUUGCACCCAGUCCAACAUCAGAGCCAAGAACGCUCAACAAAAACAAGCUUGUUGCAAUGAACGCGAUCCUGCACAACUCCUCCACCAGCAGCACUGUAAGAGGCAGACUCGUGAGGGUAACACCCAAGAACAGCAAAGAGCUGGAUCAGUCUAAUUUCACUAACAACACCAGACAUGUAGUCAUAGUCAGGCUGCCCAAGCGCCCUGCCGGUGUUAAAGCCAUCACAUAUGCUGAUAUUCUUGGAAGUGCUUCGUUCAGUGGUGUCAGGGCUACAAACCAGACACCAACAACACCACCUGAUGAUGAUCAUUUCCCAAACAUGACAGCUACAACCAGGCAACAAGUAACGGUGAGUCCCAGGACUUUAAACUCUCCCGAUGGUGUCCGCAGUGGGAAAAACAGGAGCAAAAACCUUGAAGCUGAAGAUGAGAAAGAAGAUUUCAGUAGUGUCGGUCAAAAAGACAACAAUACAAUGAAAUCAGCUGAUGUUUUACUAGAUAAAGAAGGAAGUGGAAGUGGAGAUUUUAAUGUGUCUGAUGUAGGAAGUCUGGCACUUGGUGAAGAUUUGUCAGAGCUAGAUUACCUACGGACAUCUACUGGGAACAUCUCCUUCAAGUCAAUGAAACUGUCUCGUCCAGAUAAGCAAUAGAAAUGUGAUGAAGUGUUCUACAGCUGGAACAAUAACAAUAAAGUAACUCGUGAUUUUGAUCUUGUGCAGACAAUUAAAAAAUAUUUUUGUCAGAAAAGCCUGUUUGUUGCUUUGGAACAUUAUCCAAAUCUGUCUCAUAGCAUUUUUG
ensembl:lncRNA